AGUUUGAAAAAUAAGUUCAAUUUUUGGAUCCCUGCAGUUUCGAUGAUUUUAUCCUUAAUUCUGAAGAUGUGAUAAAUGCAUCUUAACUGCGGUGAUCUAGAUCAUGAACACUUUUUUAAAAUUUA
rnacentral:pre_miRNA from 15 species